rnacentral:lncRNA from 1 species
GAAAAAUAGAAGAACAUUUUGUUCCUAUUACCAUGGAAGGAGACUAGGGUGAGCGCCGAGAUGCUGCAUGUCCCUCUUGUUAUUUCGCUCUCGAGUUUGGCUCAGCCACUGAGAAACUGCGUGAAGGGCUGGAUCCCUGAACGGGCAUUCAUUGGCAUAGCUGCAGUGAAGAUAUGAUCACGACUGCUCCAUUUAAGAUCCCAGCUCAGUUUUUAUCUGAUGGUCCCAAGAAGAGAAAAAGAAAAGCCAAGGGUUAUCUCCAGCGAGGACGGGGUUUGCACCUUCCAACAGAUUGCGGCACCUACGUUCACUUGAACUUUGGCUCCUAUUGAGGAAGACCUAGGAAUUCGUCUCCCAGCGGGAGCAUCCAUCCCUCUUCCCAUCAGCGUUUGGCCUGCGUCUAGCGCCAGCCGACGCUUUCAAGACUGGCACGUGUAUUCAAUCUCACCUCUUCCGCUUCUCCCUGGCUUCAAGACGGACACGUCUGCGGAGCACUGCUUCCCCCCCGGCCUUGCAGCGAGUUAAAAAAUGGUCUGUUCUCCCUAGCCCCCAGCCUCACCUCACUUUCUACCUCCCAUCCUCUUUGCAGGGCUAAUGCAAACAAGAUGUCCCAAGGAAAGCAUUCUUCAGCCCAGCCCCAUCUGUCUCUUUGAUUGACGGGAGACUGGCUCGGGGAGCCACUUAAAGGAGGGGAUGAAAGAUGUGUUGCCGCAUCUCCUGAGUCCUACGGCAGCAAAGCACGGUGUGUUGUGCCACCGCACACUCCUCUUUCGAGAGGUGAAGCCAUGUGAGGAGUUCAGACCGGCCUGUGCAGAUGGCUUCGUCUCCAGAGGACCAGCUGCUUUCCAGUCCAGCAAAGAUAAACAGGUCAAGACUGGAGAAGAGACCGAGGGUCGCCUUUCAGACAGCCAGUUUUUUCUGUAGGAAAACGAGGGAGCAGAUUGCUGCAUCAGCAGAUGUGUUCAGCCCUAUGAAAGAACUACAGGGCUGGCAGGGCCCUCAGGAGGUCACCUGGACCAACCCCCUGCUCGCGGCAAGCUCAUCCCUGGCUAAACCGUCCCAGGCAGAUGUUUUUCCAACUGCAAAGGGAACCAUGCUGCAAAAAAAACCGAACAAAACCCGAAGGAUUUCCAAGCCCUCUCAUGAGCUACUUGGCCGUGACUUAGUGAGAUAUCAGCCCCUGCCUGGAGUCGUCCCCUGCUAA